GGGUUGUGAGGUUAAGCGACUAAGCGUACACGGUGGAUGCCCUGGCAGUCAGAGGCGAUGAAGGACGUGCUAAUCUGCGAAAAGCGUCGGUAAGGUGAUAUGAACCGUUAUAACCGGCGAUGUCCGAAUGGGGAAACCCAGUGCAAUUCGUUGCACUAUCGUUAACUGAAUACAUAGGUUAACGAGGCGAACCGGGGGAACUGAAACAUCUAAGUACCCCGAGGAAAAGAAAUCAACCGAGAUUCCCCCAGUAGCGGCGAGCGAACGGGGAGCAGCCCAGAGUCUGAAUCAGCUUGUGUGUUAGUGGAACGGUCUGGAAAGUCCGACGGUACAGGGUGAUAGUCCCGUACACCAAAAUGCACAGGCUGUGAACUCGAAGAGUAGGGCGGGACACGUGGUAUCCUGUCUGAAUAUGGGGGGACCAUCCUCCAAGGCUAAAUACUCCUGACUGACCGAUAGUGAACCAGUACCGUGAGGGAAAGGCGAAAAGAACCCCGGCGAGGGGAGUGAAAAAGAACCUGAAACCGUGUACGUACAAGCAGUGGGAGCACCUUCGGGUGUGACUGCGUACCUUUUGUAUAAUGGGUCAGCGACUUAUAUUCUGUAGCAAGGUUAACCGUAUAGGGGAGCCGCAGGGAAACCGAGUCUUAACUGGGCGUUAAGUUGCAGGGUAUAGACCCGAAACCCGGUGAUCUAGCCAUGGGCAGGUUGAAGGUUGGGUAACACUAACUGGAGGACCGAACCGACUAAUGUUGAAAAAUUAGCGGAUGACUUGUGGCUGGGGGUGAAAGGCCAAUCAAACCGGGAGAUAGCUGGUUCUCCCCGAAAGCUAUUUAGGUAGCGCCUCGUGAAUUCAUCUUCGGGGGUAGAGCACUGUUUCGGCUAGGGGGUCAUCCCGACUUACCAACCCGAUGCAAACUACGAAUACCGAAGAAUGUUAUCACGGGAGACACACGGCGGGUGCUAACGUCCGUCGUGAAGAGGGAAACAACCCAGACCGCCAGCUAAGGUCCCAAAGUCAUGGUUAAGUGGGAAACGAUGUGGGAAGGCACAGACAGCCAGGAUGUUGGCUUAGAAGCAGCCAUCAUUUAAAGAAAGCGUAAUAGCUCACUGGUCGAGUCGGCCUGCGCGGAAGAUGUAACGGGGCUAAACCAUGCACCGAAGCUGCGGCAGCGACACUAUGUGUUGUUGGGUAGGGGAGCGUUCUGUAAGCCUGCGAAGGUGACCUGUGAGGGUUGCUGGAGGUAUCAGAAGUGCGAAUGCUGACAUAAGUAACGAUAAAGCGGGUGAAAAGCCCGCUCGCCGGAAGACCAAGGGUUCCUGUCCAACGUUAAUCGGGGCAGGGUGAGUCGACCCCUAAGGCGAGGCCGAAAGGCGUAGUCGAUGGGAAACAGGUUAAUAUUCCUGUACUUGGUGUUACUGCGAAGGGGGGACGGAGAAGGCUAUGUUAGCCGGGCGACGGUUGUCCCGGUUUAAGCAUGUAGGCUGAUUAUCCAGGCAAAUCCGGAUAAUCAAGGCUGAGGUGUGAUGACGAGGCACUACGGUGCUGAAGUAACAAAUGCCCUGCUUCCAGGAAAAGCCUCUAAGCAUCAGGUAACAUCAAAUCGUACCCCAAACCGACACAGGUGGUCAGGUAGAGAAUACCAAGGCGCUUGAGAGAACUCGGGUGAAGGAACUAGGCAAAAUGGUGCCGUAACUUCGGGAGAAGGCACGCUGGUGUGUAGGUGAAGCCCCUGCGGGUGGAGCUGAGACCAGUCGAAGAUACCAGCUGGCUGCAACUGUUUAUUAAAAACACAGCACUGUGCAAACACGAAAGUGGACGUAUACGGUGUGACGCCUGCCCGGUGCCGGAAGGUUAAUUGAUGGGGUUAUCCGUAAGGAGAAGCUCUUGAUCGAAGCCCCGGUAAACGGCGGCCGUAACUAUAACGGUCCUAAGGUAGCGAAAUUCCUUGUCGGGUAAGUUCCGACCUGCACGAAUGGCGUAAUGAUGGCCAGGCUGUCUCCACCCGAGACUCAGUGAAAUUGAACUCGCUGUGAAGAUGCAGUGUACCCGCGGCAAGACGGAAAGACCCCGUGAACCUUUACUAUAGCUUGACACUGAACAUUGAGCCUUGAUGUGUAGGAUAGGUGGGAGGCUUUGAAGCGUGGACGCCAGUCUGCGUGGAGCCAACCUUGAAAUACCACCCUUUAAUGUUUGAUGUUCUAACGUUGGCCCCUGACCGGGGUUGCGGACAGUGUCUGGUGGGUAGUUUGACUGGGGCGGUCUCCUCCCAAAGCGUAACGGAGGAGCACGAAGGUUAGCUAAUCCUGGUCGGACAUCAGGAGGUUAGUGCAAUGGCAUAAGCUAGCUUGACUGCGAGCGUGACGGCGCGAGCAGGUGCGAAAGCAGGUCAUAGUGAUCCGGUGGUUCUGAAUGGAAGGGCCAUCGCUCAACGGAUAAAAGGUACUCCGGGGAUAACAGGCUGAUACCGCCCAAGAGUUCAUAUCGACGGCGGUGUUUGGCACCUCGAUGUCGGCUCAUCACAUCCUGGGGCUGAAGUAGGUCCCAAGGGUAUGGCUGUUCGCCAUUUAAAGUGGUACGCGAGCUGGGUUUAGAACGUCGUGAGACAGUUCGGUCCCUAUCUGCCGUGGGCGCUGGAGAAUUGAGGGGGGCUGCUCCUAGUACGAGAGGACCGGAGUGGACGCAUCACUGGUGUUCGGGUUGUCAUGCCAAUGGCACUGCCCGGUAGCUAAAUGCGGAAGAGAUAAGUGCUGAAAGCAUCUAAGCACGAAACUUGCCCCGAGAUGAGUUCUCCCUGAGACUUUAAGUCUCCUGAAGGAACGUUAAAGACGAUGACGUUGAUAGGCCGGGUGUGUAAGCGCAGCGAUGCGUUGAGCUAACCGGUACUAAUGAACCGUGAGGCUUAACCUUACAACGCCGAAG
rnacentral:rRNA from 1 species